ACCCAUAGUAACGAAAAAUUUGUUGGAAUUAAUAGAUGUAUCUAGUUCCAUGAAUAUAUAAGUAGCAAAUCAAUUAAGACAAGAGUCAGUAAUCAGAUCCUGAAUUAAGUGACAGUUAUAAUAAGUUCAUACAAGAUACUAAUGAAUUUAAUUAUGUGGAGUCAAUCACAAGUGAUAAAGCGAUCCCCAAAGAUUCCAGUUUUGCAUCAGUCAUUGAAGUUGGUGAUGUUUUGAAUGAUUCUACGAAAUCUGAGAGUGACAGUUUGUUUGAUGAUAGCAGCAAAAAUAGUACUGUACGUCAAAGGUCU